UUCUCCAAGUAUUGCUGUUUGAGUCGUUGGCUCUCCUGGAGAAGCUCACGACCAGCUUCCCCAGCGUGAGUUCAACCAUUGUCAGUGGAGGAGCUCGGGGCCUUGUUUGUGAGAGUGGCUGUGGUUCACUGUGGGGGAGCUCUGGUUCUUACAUCGCGCAUCACUUCCUGGCUCUGGAGGGAAGACAUGUACUGUUUAAUGUCCAGGAUGAACUCAUCACACUGGCUUUCUGGCACAUACUCAACUAUUCUUACUGAUGGAGGAGCUCGGGCCUCUGUGCCACUGAAGAUGGCCGUUGUACUUUUCAGGGCAUCCCUGGUUCUUAUUUAAGUGUGACUUCUCCGCUCCAGUAUAGAACCCUCAACCUACCAGCACAGCUCCUCACUCCACUGGCAAAGACUUUCUGGCUUCCACCAAUGCUACUUAUACUUUGAUUAAUUUAGAACUUACUUUAUUUUAUGGAGAUAAAUGAUGGAGUAAGAGGAAUGAACUGGUAAAUACCUGUCUUGGAACUGUGACUAGGAAGAGGUGUGGUGAUUUCAGUGAGGUCACAACAAAUCAGAAAAAUAUUUUCACGUGAUUAAUUGAGGGCGUCUGAUAAAGGUGCCACCCACUCCAACAUGCCUAACACAGUACGCUGCCAUCUUCUAGGAAAUAAGCUUUAGCUGGAGAGAAAUACAGCUGGCCUCCUACAAAGCAGAUCUGUUUACAACGAGAUAUCUAGGGUGUAUCUGCAUAUUCCUUUAAGUUGGAAGCAUGCUAGAGAAUUAUCUUGAGAGAAACGUGAUGGUAUGUCCAUGUCCACCUCGGCACUGGAUCUGCACCGUGUGACUUCUGGCUGGCUCCUCUCCAAAGUCUAAAUGACCCAAACGGUAAACGUUUUGAACUGAUUCAGGACAGAGGCCAGAAAAUGACAAGAACUAUGAGGUGAAUAUGUUCAAAGAGAAGGGAAAUAUUUUGAGAUUAACAGGCUAAUUUGGAUUAAUGGCAAUGUAUCAUUAACAGUAAACUUUUAAUGAAACUUUAAUUUGAACAUUCACCACAUUUUUGAUUGUAUAUUUGGUUCUUGUCGCAUGUUUCCUAGGCAGAAUUUCAAAACAUAGAUGUAAACGCUGUGGAAAUUUUCAUUAUUAAAACUGUGAGUUCCCUUUUUAGACUUCAUUUUGCUAAUAAUGCCACCCAGAAAGAGUUAAAAUACCAAAAAAAAAAAAAAAAAAGUGUUGAAACUUUUGUAGAAAUGGUACUUUGAGCUAGAAAGAGUCAUGAUUUCUACACGAGUAGAUAUGUUGGUGCUUUAGUUUUUUUUUUAAAUCGGUACCAGGGAUCGAACUCACGACCGCCUGCUUCUAAGGCAGCUGCUUAUGCCACUGAGCUAAAUCCCCAGCCCCGGUGCUUUAGUUUUACUGCAGUCAUAUGGCUGAUCUGUAACAUCAUAGUGGGGUGGAAAAUCUUUUGUUACCUCCAUUGUUUAUGUUUUAAAUUAGAUGAUAUAGAAGAGUAAGGACAUUAAGAAUGAAGAUGUUUAUAAAGUAAAAAAAAUUACAGCACUCUAUGACUAAUUUGUUCUUAAAGAAAGAAUUUUAAGAUACAUUUAGUGUGGCUAAGUGUACAGUGUUAUACAGUCUACACGCGUGUGCAGCCACGCCCUGAGACUUCACACUCACCAUCCAAUCACCCAAAGCCCUGGGGGUCCUGCAAGCCCCAUUCAUGGUAAGUGCCCGAUAAAGGUGUGCUGCACAGAGGUAGUUAUUUUAAGGUACAUUGUAUUAAUAUAAGGUCCUUAAAAACAUGCAUAUUUUUCUGGUUAUAAAAAUAAUGUCUCUUUAUUUAAAAUUUAGAAAAAAAUGCCAGAAAACAUAAAGCACAUUAUAAAAAAUCAUUUAUCACUUCCCACAACUAUAAUCACUAUUAAUACUUAGCUAUAAAUCUUUUGUCUAUUAGCACCUCUAUUUUCUUGUUAUUCUUGGUAUAACACACCUGUCUUUAUUUUAUUUUCAGUGUUUUAGUGCUGCUGCAUAACCCCGACUCUCUAACAAAUGAUAUAUAACUAUUUUUUGUUUGAUUUCAGAAUCUGUCUUUAAAAACCACUAUUUAAAUCA